rnacentral:lncRNA from 1 species
CUCAUGCCUGUAAUCCCAGCACUUUGGGAGGCCGAGGUGGGUGAAUCGCUUGCGGUCACGAGUUCGAGACUAGCCUGACCAACAUGGCGAAACCCCAUCUCUACCAAAAAUACAAAAUACAAAAAUUAGCCGGGCGUGGUGGCGCGCACCCGGUCCCAGCUACUUGGGAGCCUGAGGCAGGAGAAUCGCUUGAAUCUGGGAAGGCGGAGGUUGCAGUAAGCCGAGGUCACACCAUUGCAUGCUAGCCUGGGCAACAAGAGCGAAACGCUGUCUAAAAAAAAAAGAACUUACAUACUUAAACAUCGAAUUGCUUUAAGUGUUUGGCAUUCACUGUUCCCGUGCAUGCCAGCAGCUUCUUACUGCAAACACCUGAGACUUGCUAUAGAGCAGCUGGACUAUGUUCCGCCCACACACAGGACAGGGAGCUGACAACCAAGGAGGGGGGCGGGAUCAAUACUCCAGCUUUCCCCCCUCCAUUUCCCUGUAUCUCAGCAGUAUGGAGCUUGUUAUCAAUGAGAACCUGCUCGCUGACUUUAAAUUGCUUUUCUUACCUUCUCAGUUCAGUUUCUCCGUACCUCAAUUGAUGAUUUCUGGUAUGACCUAGCAAAUACACUGCUUUCACUGAAAUUUCAGUCUUGCAAUCUGCUUUGGGUUCCCCAAUCUAAGACAGAAACAUACUCAUUUUCCCAUCACUGGACUUCCAGGUUGUUUUCAAUUUUCCACUGUUACAAACAAGGUGGCAACAUUUAUCUACAAACCUCUGGAUAUACACGUAGGAAUCUUUUGGUAUUUCCACUAGUGAAACUGCUCAGUUGAAGGGUAUGUGGAUCUUCAUCUUUAAUAAAUAUUACCAACAUGUGAAAAGCCCGACAAUGUCAAGGACUGGCAAGAGUGCCACAUGUGAUGGGUGUGGAAUGGCAGCUCACUAUAGCAGGUGCUGGGGACUCAGUUGGGGUCUUGGAGAAGCACUUAGUUAUAGCAAGAAUGUCUCAUAAAUGGUAUCUGAUAGAGACAAGAGUAGUGGGGAAUAAAAAC